rnacentral:rRNA from 1 species
UUGAUCCUGGCUCAGAACGAACGUUAGCGGCGCGCCUAACACAUGCAAGUCGAGCGAGAAAGGGCUUCGGCCCCGGUAAAGCGGCGCACGGGUGAGUAACACGUAGGCAAUCUGCCUCGAGGUGGUGGAUAACCCUCCGAAAGGAGGGCUAAUACAGCAUGAGACCACGUCGUCGAAAGACGAUGCGGCCAAAGCCGGCCUCUUCAUGAAAGCUGGCGCCACGAGAUGAGCCUGCGGCCCAUCAGCUAGUUGGUAGGGUAACGGCCUACCAAGGCAAAGACGGGUAGCUGGUCUGAGAGGAUGACCAGCCACACUGGGACUGAGACACGGCCCAGACUCCUACGGGAGGCAGCAGUGGGGAAUAUUGGACAAUGGGCGAAAGCCUGAUCCAGCCAUGCCGCGUGAGUGAUGAAGGUCUUCGGAUCGUAAAGCUCUGUGGGAAGGGACGAAAAAGACCUAACCUAAUACGUUAGGUCUUGACGGUACCUUCUUAGUCAAGCACCGGCUAACUCCGU